rnacentral:tRNA from 1 species
UGGCAGGUUGCCCGAGCGGCCAAAGGGAGCGGACUGUAAAUCCGUCGGCUCACGCCUACGUUGGUUCGAAUCCAACACCUGCCACCC